UGGUCAUGAGGCAGUCAGAAUGCUUUUAUAAUUCACCGUGCAUCAAAGCUCAGCAUUUAAGGAACUGGCUAGCCACAGUGAAACCAAAAGAACUCAAAAGCACCAUCUAAUUCCCAUUUCUGACAGAAGUCGCACGCAAGGCAGCUAGCACAAGCAUUCCCUGUGUGUAUGCUCUGCCGUCACAGAGUGCUGAAUGCAAGCAGAGGCACCUUCUGCUGGAAUCCAUGCAAGGCUGACAUGCCACGGAUGCUCUGUCCUUCGGUUCUCCUUCUGUGAAGCAGGGAUUUGGCCUGAGGCUUUUGGAAAGAAGAGCAAGCCCCUUCUUCCCCUUGGGAAAAGUCACAGAAAAUGGGAGGACACCAGAGAUUACAGCUCUGCUCUUACAAAUGAAAUUUCUUCUGCCUAAAUAUUGUGAAUAUGAAAGCAUACACUUCCCAUCAAUGGCUGGAUUUAUUCUUUCCCGUCUAUCUGACUGGCUGUGUGAGCAACGAGAUGAAGAUACAGUACUAUUUAUGGACUAAAGAGGAUCUAUGAUUGAUUCGUUACUGUACAUUGGUGUAUGCACACACAGACAAGUCAGAGAAAUACAUGGCUCUUUCUGCCUACUGAGGGAUAGAUAUACUCAAUAUAUUCAAAUGUGUGUAAGGUUGUGUGUGUGUGCACAUUGCAUGGGUGAAUAACCACAACAAAGACAUAUUGAAACAUAAUCCUAAGGUUUAGGGAUCAAUUUGUUUUAGGUAUGGCCUGAGAUAUUGUACUUGUUUCCUUUAAAUCUAAAAACCUUUGUGUGGACAAAAUAUUGCAGAGUCUCUUUACAACAUUUAGAUCCUGUCCCUGAUAAUGAGCAUCUUAUGCCUGUGAGGACUGCAAAGAGUGCUUUUGCCAUACAUUUGUGCAAGCAGAAUAUUACAACUGCUUAAAGGGCAUACCUCUGGUAACAGCAAAGCUAACUUGUGUACUCCCUGUGUAUUCUGAAAGCAAACAUAUUCUUAGCUAAUCCAAACACAGGGACAUAACCCCUCCAUAUAUGCAAGUAUCAUUGUUUCGUAAGACCACUCAUGUGUGCAUAUUUCUUUCCACAUUGUUAUAUCUUUGGUCAAUCAUGAAACAUCAGGUAUCUCACAAAAGUCUUUAAAAAUGCAGAUGGCAUUUAGUAUAUAUGCUCUGCCCUAAA